GAACCCGGGCCGCCCGCGUGGUAGAAUGCUCGCCUGCCACGCGGGCGGCCCGGGUUCGAUUCCCGGCCGAUGCA